rnacentral:rRNA from 1 species
AGAGUUUGAUCCUGGCUCAGAACGAACGCUGGCGGCGUGGAUAAGACAUGCAAGUCGAACGCUGAUCAGUCCGGUAGCAAUACCGGCUGGUUGGAGUGGCGAAAGGGUGAGUAACGCGUGGGUAAUUUGCCGUGAAGUUGGGGAUAACUCGCUGAAAGGCGAGCUAAUACCGGAUGUGGAUACCUGGAGGCAUCUUCAGGGAUCUGAAGUUGGGGACCGCAAGGCCUGACGCUUCACGAUAAGCCCGCGGCCUAUCAGCUAGUUGGCGGGGUAACGGCCCACCAAGGCGAAGACGGGUAGCUGGUCUGAGAGGACGACCAGCCACACUGGAACUGAGACACGGUCCAGACACCUACGGGUGGCAGCAGUCGAGAAUUUUUCACAAUGGGCGCAAGCCUGAUGGAGCGACGCCGCGUGGGGGAUGAAGGGCUUCGGCCUGUAAACCCCUGUCAUUUGUGAACAAGGCGUUUCACCUAACACGUGGGACGUUGAUAGUAGCGAAAGAGGAAGGGACGGCUAACUCUGUGCCAGCAGCCGCGGUAAUACAGAGGUCCCGAGCGUUGUUCGGAUUCACUGGGCGUAAAGGGUGCGUAGGCGGCAGGUAAGUUUGAUGUGAAAUCUCCGGGCUUAACCCGGAAAUGGCAUUAAAUACUAUCUGGCUUGAGGUUCGGAAGGGGAGACCUGGAAUUCUCCGGUGUACAUAAAUGCGUAAAAUUCGAAGAGGGAACACCGGGUUGGCCAAAGGGCAAGUCUCUGGACCGGGAUUCUUGACGUCUGAGGGCAACGGAAAGCCAAGGGAAGCAAACAGGAUUAAGAUACCUUGGUAGUCCUGGCUGUAACGGUNGCACGUUUGCUGUAGGAGGAAUCGACCCCUUCUGUUGGCGAAGCUAACGCGAUAAACGUGCCGCCCUGGGGAGUUACGGUCGCAAGAUUAAAAACUCAAAGAAAUUGACGGGGGCCUGCACAAGCGGUGGAGUAUGUGGCUUAAUUCGAUGCAACGCGAAGAACCUUACCUGGCCUUGACAUGCAAGUGGUAGGACCAUGAAAGUGGGACGACCCCGCAAGGGGAGCUUGCACAGGUGCUGCAUGGCUGUCGUCAGCUCGUGUCGUGAGAUGUUGGGUUAAGUCCCGCAACGAGCGCAACCCCUAUGUCCUGUUGCAACCAGAACGAGAGUUCUGGGCACUCUGGACAGACUGCCUCGCUUAAACGGGGAGGAAGGUGGGGAUGACGUCAAGUCAGGAUGGCCCUUACGGCCAGGGCUGCACACGUACUACAAUGCCCGGCACAAAGGGAAGCAAAACCGCGAGGUGGAGCAAAUCUCAAAAAACCGGGCCCAGUUCGGAUUGUAGGCUGCAACUCGCCUACAUGAAGUUGGAAUCGCUAGUAAUGGCGCAUCAGCUACGGCGCCGUGAAUACGUUCCCAGGCCUUGUACACACCGCCCGUCACAUCAUGAAAGCCGGUUGUACCCGAAGUCCAUGAGUUAACUCGCAAGAGGGACAGUGGCCGAAGGUAUGGCUGGUGAUUGGGAUGAAGUCGUCACAAGGUAGCCGUAGGGGAACCUGCGGCUGGAUCACCUCCUU